CGGCAUCUUUGAACACAUGGUUCCUCCUUCACUUCUCACAGAGAUGAGAGGAGCAGCUAUGAGUCUAACUGCAGCAGCGAGUGGAUUAGUCGUCUUCCUGCUCUCUGUGUCAGUGGUUCAGGGUCAACGUGGC